rnacentral:rRNA from 1 species
ACUUGCUUUCUUUGCUGGCGACCGGCGCACGGGUGAGUAACACGUAUCCAACCUGCCCUUUACUCGGGGAUAGCCUUUCGAAAGAAAGAUUAAUACCCGAUGGCAUAAUGAUUCCGCAUGGUUUCAUUAUUAAAGGAUUCCGGUAAAGGAUGGGGAUGCGUUCCAUUAGUUUGUUGGCGGGGUAACGGCCCACCAAGACUACGAUGGAUAGGGGUUCUGAGAGGAAGGUCCCCCACAUUGGAACUGAGACACGGUCCAAACUCCUACGGGAGGCAGCAUG